rnacentral:rRNA from 2 species
AGCAGCCGCGGUAAUUCCAGCUCCAAUAGCGUAUAUUAAAGUUGUUGCAGUUAAAAAGCUCGUAGUUGAAUUUCGAGACCGGUCUACUGGUCGUGCUUUUGUACGUACUGGUUUUAUUGGUUUCUCCUUUCUGACGAACUAUAAUGCCAUUAAUUUGGUGUUAUGGGGAAUCAGGACUGUUACUUUGAAAAAAUUAGAGUGUUUAAAGCAGGCUCACGCUUGAAUACAUUAGCAUGGAAUAACGGAAUAGGACGUUUGAUUCUAUUUUGUUGGUUUCUAGGAUCGACGUAAUGAUUAAUAGGGAUAGUUGGGGGCAUUAGUAUUCAAUUGUCAGAGGUGAAAUUCUUGGAUUUAUUGAAGACUAACUACUGCGAAAGCAUUUGCCAAGGAUGUUUUCAUUAAUCAAGAACGAAAGUUAGGGGAUCGAAGACGAUCAGAUACCGUCGUAGUCUUAACCAUAAACUAUGCCGACUAGGGAUCGGAUGAUGUUAAUUUUUAAUGACUCAUUCGGCGCCUUACG